rnacentral:rRNA from 1 species
AACGCUGGCGGCGUGCCUAAUACAUGCAAGUCGAACGAACGGAGGAAGAGCUUGCUCUUCCAAAGUUAGUGGCGGACGGGUGAGUAACACGUGGGCAACCUGCCUGUAAGUUGGGGAUAACUCCGGGAAACCGGGGCUAAUACCGAAUGAUAAARUGUGGCGCAUGCCACGCUUUUGAAAGAUGGUUUCGGCUAUCGCUUACAGAUGGGCCCGCGGUGCAUUAGCUAGUUGGUAGGGUAAUGGCCUACCAAGGCAACGAUGCAUAGCCGACCUGAGAGGGUGAUCGGCCACACUGGGACUGAGACACGGCCCAGACUCCUACGGGAGGCAGCAGUAGGGAAUCUUCCGCAAUGGACGAAAGUCUGACGGAGCAACGCCGCGUGUAUGAAGAAGGUUUUCGGAUCGUAAAGUACUGUUGUUAGAGAAGAACAAGGAUAAGAGUAACUGCUUGUCCCUUGACGGUAUC